rnacentral:rRNA from 1 species
CCUACGGGGGGCAGCAGUAGGGAAUUUUCGGCAAUGGGCGAAAGCCUGACCGAGCAACGCCGCGUGAGUGAUGAAGGCCUUCGGGUUGUAAAGCUCUGUUGUAGAGGAAGAACCGCCAGGAUAGGAAAUGAUCUUGGCUUGACGGUACUCUGCCAGAAAGCAACGGCUAACUACGUGCCAGCAGCCGCGGUAAUACGUAGGUUGCAAGCGUUAUCCGGAAUUAUUGGGCGUAAAGGGUGCGUAGGCGGUUACGUGUGUCUAAGGUGAAAUUCCAG